CCUACGGGUGGCAGCAGUGAGGAAUAUUGGUCAAUGGGCGGAAGCCUGAACCAGCCAAGUCGCGUGAGGGAUGAAGGUGCUAUGGAUUGUAAACCUCUUUUAUAAGGGAAUAAAGUGCGGGACGUGUCCCGUUUUGUAUGUACCUUAUGAAUAAGGAUCGGCUAACUCCGUGCCAGCAGCCGCGGUAAUACGGAGGAUCCGAGCGUUCUCCGGAUUUAGUGGGUUGAAAGGGUGCGUAGGCGGCCUUUUAAGUCAGCGGUGAAAGUCUGUGGCUCAACCAGAGAAUUGCCGUUGAAACUGGGAGGCUUGAGUAUGUUUGAGGCAGGCGGCAUGCGUGGUGUCGCGGUGACAUGCUUAGCUAUCCCGCAGAACCCCGAUUGCGAAGGCAGCCUGCCAAGCCAUGACUGACGCUGAUGCACGAAAGCGUGGGGAUCAAACAGGAUUAGAUACCCGAGUAGUC
rnacentral:rRNA from 1 species